rnacentral:misc_RNA from 1 species
ACAAUUUUAGCAGGAGCUUGUCUUUGGAUGAGCACCUGUGAAAAAUCAAUCACCUUUUGUGCACUGUAUGUCUCUGGCGGCUGGGGCAAUGCAGCCUGACUUGCAAAAGUCAGAUGCAUUGCUCUGUCAGCUUGGUUCUCUUCUGGACCAGGCCGUGGACAACCCGCCAACCACUUGUUUAACUCACUGUUUUAAUCUCCUGUCUAACAAAUUACUUUGUAUUAAAAUACAAUA